rnacentral:rRNA from 1 species
GUGGACGCUUGCCUCAAGGAUUAAGCCAUGCAAGCUAGCGAAGGUAACGGAGCGGCGAACGGCUCAGUAGGACAGGGAUAUCUGGCCACGGCAGAGGAUAACCGCGGUAAACUGCGGCUAAUACGAGCGUGUGUGAGGCCCUGGCCUAUCAGCUAGGCGGUACGGUAAGGGCGUACCGUGGCGACGACGGGUAGCGGGAAAUCGGGGUUUGAUACCGGAGAGGGAGCCUGAGAGAUGGCUGCCACGUCCAAGGACGGCAGCAGGCGCGAAAAUUACCCACUUGGAGGACCAGAGGUAGUGACGAGGCGUGACAAUGAGGAUAGGUUAAAACACUGUCCGAAGGCGACUGGAGGGCAAGUCUGGUGCCAGCAGCCGCGG